UACGGGGGGGGGGCAAGCGUUUGUUCGGAAUUACUGGGCGUAAAGGGCGCGUAGGCGGUGCUCUAAGUCGGAUGUGAAAACUCUGGGCUCAACCCAGAGCCUGCAUCCGAAACUGGAGUGCUAGAGUUCUGGAGGGGGUAGCGGAAUUCCUGGUGUAGCGGUGAAAUGCGUAGAUAUCAGGAGGAACACCGGUGGCGAAGGCGGCUACCUGGACAGAAACUGACGCUGAGGCGCGAAAGCUAGGGGAGCAAACAGG
rnacentral:rRNA from 1 species